AGAGCACAGGGAUUGCCCUAGUAACGGCGAGUGAAGCGGCAACAGCUCAAAUUUGAAAUCUGGCCCUAGCGGUCCGAAUUGUAAUUUGUAGAGGAUGCUUUUGGUGCGGUGCCUUCCGAGUUCCCUGGAACGGGACGCCGGAGAGGGUGAGAGCCCCGUACGGUUGGACACCUAGCCUCUGUAUAGCUCCUUCAACGAGUCGAGUAGUUUGGGAAUGCUGCUCUAAAUGGGAGGUAAAUUUCUUCUAAAGCUAAAUACCGGCCAGAGACCGAUAGCGCACAAGUAGAGUGAUCGAAAGAUGAAAAGCACUUUGAAAAGAGGGUUAAAUAGCACGUGAAAUUGUUGAAAGGGAAGCGUUUGCGACCAGACCUUUUCCGGGCGGAUCAUCCGGCGUUCUCGCCGGUGCACUUCGUCCGGUUUAGGCCAGCAUCGGUUUCCUUAGGGGGAUAAAGGCUUGGGGAACGUAGCUCUUUAGGGAGUGUUAUAGCCCCUCGCGUAAUACCCUUCGGGGGACCGAGGACCGCGCUCUGCAAGGAUGCUGGCGUAAUGGUCGUCAACGACCCGUCUUGAAACACGGACCAAGGAGUCGAACAUUUGUGCGAGUGUUUGGGUGUUAAACCCUCACGCGUAAUGAAAGUGAACGGAGGUGAGAGCCCUUACGGGUGCAUCAUCGACCGAUCCUGAUGUCUUCGGAUGGAUUUGAGUAAGAGCAUAACUGUUCGGACCCGAAAGAUGGUGAACUAUGCGUGGAUAGGGUGAAGCCAGAGGAAACUCUGGUGGAGGCUCGCAGCGGUUCUGACGUGCAAAUCGAUCGUCAAAUCUGCGCAUGGGGGCGAAAGACUUAUCGAACCAUCUAGUAGCUGGGUACCGCCGAGCCCUCCCUCUGGGGAAUA
rnacentral:rRNA from 1 species